GUGUCAGCAGCCGCGGUAAUACGUAGGGGGCAAGCGUUGUCCGGAAUCAUUGGGCGUAAAGCGCGUGUAGGCGGCUGAGUAAGUCUGCUCUGAAAGCCCGGGGCUCAACCCCGGGAGGCGGGUGGAUACUGCUCAGCUCGAGUCCGGAAGAGGAGUGUGGAAUUCCUGGUGUAGCGGUGAAAUGCGCAGAUAUCAGGAGGAACACCAAUGGCGAAGGCAGCACUCUGGGACGGUACUGACGCUGAGACGCGAAAGCGUGGGGAGCAAACAGGAUUAGAAACCCCAGUAGUCC
rnacentral:rRNA from 1 species